rnacentral:misc_RNA from 1 species
CUUUGUUUUGUGCUUUCUACAUCUAUCCCUCUUCUCUCUCUUUUGCACUUUUGUAAGGUUUCUCUUCUCCAGCCUACUAGCUAAUGAGUUCCUUUGGUUUUGCACAUUGGAUUGGCUUUAUUGGUGCAACAGUAGGAAGCAGGUUAGGCCAGCUGAGAUCAUCAGAGGGUCGAGGCUUCAUCUUUGUUUUGUGCUUUCUA